UACGUAGGGUGCAGGCGUUAAUCGGAAUUACUGGGCGUAAAGCGUGCGCAGGCGGUUUCUUAAGUCAGAUGUGAAAGCCCCGGGCUUAACCGGGGAACUGCGUUUGAAACUGGGAGACUUGAGUGUGGCAGAGGGGGGUGGAAUUCCACGUGUAGCAGUGAAAUGCGUAGAUAUGUGGAGGAACACCAAUGGCGAAGGCAGCCCCCUGGGUCAACACUGACGCUCAUGCACGAAAGCGUGGGGAGCAAACAGG
rnacentral:rRNA from 1 species